rnacentral:lncRNA from 1 species
UCCUGCAAACCCUCCAAUCAUUGCACUGCCUAAACAAGGAUGGAAAGAUAAUAUACUAAUUAAUUUUAAAUAAUCAUACUUUAAAAUUCCCAAGGUACUAUGUGCUCUGAUUUACAAUAAAUGAAAAGCAUAAAGUCUUCUGAAAAUAGAGUUCAAAUAUGUAAGAUGUUGAAAAAGAGAGCUAGCAUAUUAAAAUCCUUAAAGUGUUUUCUUCAGGUAAUAAGUUGUAUAAAACAUUAUGAUUUUCUGAUUUUUCACAAAAAAAGAGAAACCAAAUUUCAAAAAUUAUAGCCUACAAAAAGAAAAGGAGAAGUAUGCAGCCAGCCCUACCAAGUCUACCAAAGGAAUCUCCAAAGCCUCGAUUUAUUCCAAUAUCACCACGUCCAAAAUCUCGCUCCAUGCUACUAGUCAUCGCACCACGGUACAGCUCUGAAAAAAUUGUGCAACAAAUUAACCUUUUCAAAUAUAUCAAUACAUGUUGAAAACAUUCAGGAAUGUAUCUAAAUUAUGAAAAGACGCGUAAGUCACAAAUAUAAAAUAGUCUGUCAUUUACCCAAUUUACCUCACAUGCCACACAUAUCAUCCCCAUUCCCCAGGCCUGUCCUUAUCCCCUAGUGCCUAUAUGCCUUCU